GCGGUAAUACGAAGGGUGCAAGCGUUAAUCGGAAUUACUGGGCGUAAAGCGCGCGUAGGUGGUUCAGCAAGUUGGAUGUGAAAUCCCCGGGCUCAACCUGGGAACUGCAUCCAAAACUACUGAGCUAGAGUACGGUAGAGGGUGGUGGAAUUUCCUGUGUAGCGGUGAAAUGCGUAGAUAUAGGAAGGAACACCAGUGGCGAAGGCGACCACCUGGACUGAUACUGACACUGAGGUGCGAAAGCGUGGGGAGCAAACAGGAUUA
rnacentral:rRNA from 1 species